CUCCGGGCUCCCGACCAACUCGGACCACCUCGCUGACUCCUCUCUCCGCCCGGGUGCCGCCGCGGUGCAAGUCCGUAGCGACCGGGUCCCAGGAGCGAAAGUUGCGUGGCGUGCAAUCCGGCUGCUGGGACCAGUGAGAUAAUUUCAAGAAUUAUCAGGACUUCAAACUAAGGAGUGUAAAGCAGGGAGGGCAAAGUGGAGAAGAAACAGGUACUGUUAUUCUACGUAAUAACUCAGAAGACCACCACAAGGAUCAUGCCGAGAUCUCCUGACCCAGCUUCAAUGACUAAGAUUCCCCCAAAGAAAGAAGAAUGCAUGUUGGCCCCAAUCCUGAUUCUUAUCUAAAACCCUGUUUUUCUCCUUUUAGACUGUAAAACUCCCUGCAAUUCUUCCCCAAAGGAGAGCUUAGUUUUUAAGUCAUUAGCCUGCUGUGGCCUCCUUUAAAAGUUUUUUUUUUUUUCCUCCUUCACCUAAAAUGCUUGUCUCCGCACUUCUAUUAGGCACUGGUGGACAAAGGCUGAGUUUCAGCAACACUUCUAACUAGUAAAUGUCAUUAUCUAUUGAAUUCUAGGCAGCAUGCUAGGUUUUUGACAUUGAAUCAUUUUCUCUUUUAAUCCUGGAUAUAUCACCCAAGCUCACGCCUACAUUAUUCAUGCAGUGUAGAUGUUUUUCAGAAUAAUUAAAUACCUUUCCUAAGUUUACAGAACGAGAAAGGAACUAAGCCUGGAUGUGGACCCCAAUCCAGCCUGACUCCCAAAGUUCCCACUACUUUUAUCCCCUUUCAUUGCUUCUCUGCUGGCCUACAACCACAAUGUACAACUAAUUAAUUCACAGUAUUUCUACAUAGCACAACUGAGAAAAUUGGAACGAAAUACAGGAAUUCAAUUGUAAUCUUGCUGGAUGUGAAAAAUGGUCCUUACUUUCCAAACCACUCACGUUUUAAAUUUUUUGUCAUUUUUAAGGUAUAAAUUUAAGAGAACAUAUUAAGACAUGAAAGACGAAUACUUCUUUCCAACUUUAUCUGUUAAAUGGACUUGAAAGAUUCAUGAAUUUCUCUGUUGUCAGAGUCAUAAAACUGUGUUCAAUUUGACAUACGCUUUUAGAAUUUCAGACAUUUAAAGAAAUUAUUGGUAGUAUAAGAUGAUUAAUCACCUAGGAUAGAUUUUCGUUUCACUCUUCCUACCAAGCUAUAGAUUCGGAUAUGCUAAUGUGGAUGAGUCUCACCGAAUUUUCCCUCAUGAGUCCCAGUAGUUGUAUAAGGCUUUGCCAUAUUUUAGAUGUCCAUAAAAAUGGAAAUAUAGCUGCUCUGUGGACUACAGAUGUUGUUAAUGAAGGAGACAUAUUUAUUUGCUUUUAAGCAUGACCUAGAUUAUCCGAGAAAUGGUUUUCUUUCACUUUUCUUAAAAGUUGGCAGAGAUGGGAAAUAAGAUUCUCGAAUUCUGUCUCUUGGAUUGAGCAAGUUCACACUGGGGGAGAUAUGGAGCUGAAACACACCGUAACCAAGUUCAUUUGGGGUUGUAGUUUGGGAUAAAAAUAGGGUGCUAGGAAGCAAGAAUAUUGUCGAUGGCCAGAAUAUAUUGCUAACAAGUGAUUCAAAUUUAUUAAGAAUCCAAACAUGCAUGAUGUUUGAAACACUGCUCAAAGAAAAUCAAGUAGUCUUGGUCUUUGUUUUAAGGAAACAUCACCUACUUAAUGGUAAAUCAUUAUCUUAAGUUGUAAGGAUGAAAAGAAAAUAUAUUACUCUUUUUUUUUUUUUUUUUGUCUU